rnacentral:rRNA from 1 species
CACGUACCCAUCCCGAACACGACCGUUAAGCCCUCCAGCGCCGAUGGUACUUGGACCGAAGGGUCCUGGGAGAGUAGGACGUUGCCAAGC